rnacentral:rRNA from 1 species
AGCAGUCGCCACGGUAAUACGUAGGUGGCGAGCGUUGUCCGGAAUCAUUGGGCGUAAAGGGAGCGCAGGCGGGCAAGUAAGUCUUUCUUAAAAGUUCGGGGCUCAACCCCGUGAUGGGAAAGAAACUACAUGUCUUGAGUACAGGAGAGGAAAGCGGAAUUCCCAGUGUAGCGGUGAAAUGCGUAGAUAUUGGGAGGAACACCAGUGACGAAGGCGGCUUUCUGGACUGCAACUGACGCUGAGGCUCGAAAGCCAGGGGAGCGAACGGGAUUAGAUACCCCCGUAGUCCCUGUCUCUUAUACA